AAUCUUGAAAAUAUCAAUCACAUGUAACUCCGAACUCUAACAUCCUCGACACAAAUAAUUCAUCCUCUUUCAUCAUCAAACAUCAAGAACCAUUUACCAAGAAUUGCCAUGAUGCCAUCCAUGACCCUGGUCUCUUCUUCCAAGCUACAAUUUCGACUCCUCUUCUUCCUCUUCCUAACCGCUUUCUCCCUAUCCAUCAAGAACUCAGUCCCAGACGUCCAUGACCUCUUCCCGAAAUACCACCUCCCAAAGGGUCUUCUCCCAGGAAACGUUCAGUCCUAUUCUCUUUCUUCCGAGGACAACACAUUUAUCAUUGAAUUAACUCACCAUUGCUAUGUUCAGUUCAAGGAUCAGCUAGUCCUUUAUGAUAAAGUUUUGACUGGAAAAUUGGGGUAUGGGAAGGUUUCUGAUGUCACUGGAAUUCAUGCUAGGAAGUUCUUCAUAUGGGUUUCUGUCACUGGGAUGGAUGUUGAUGAAAGCUCAAAUACGAUUGAAUUUCAUGUGGGGGUUUUGUCCCAGAGUUUGCCUGCUGAUAUGUUCCAGACUAUUCCCACUUGUCACAAUAAAGGGUUGCAAGAAUCUUCUCUGCUUUCAUCAAUUUGAGAUUCUUGAACCAUAUUCCAGGUCCAAAUCCAGCAGAAGCUUUAGAUGUUGUGAAGCUUAUGGUUCUGGUUGAGCUCUUUCUAGUUUCUUCGAUACUUGUAGAAGGAAAGAUUGUCAAUCUGUACCAUUGUCACAUUCAUUCAUGGCCCAUAGAAAAAUAUACUUCUCUCAACAAGAAGUUUGAGGAAAUCAAUAUAUGUAGAUAUGAUGUUUAUAACGAGUACUUGCUGGCUGUAUCUUCUGUUGUUGGCUCUGCAUUUUUCAGUCAAAAUUGUGCAUUAAUUUUGCUUUU